rnacentral:lncRNA from 1 species
CGAACGGAUAAGUAAAUUGAAUUCACAACUUAUGAAAUCACAACUGAAGGUAAUCAAUUCAUAUUACAAAUAUAUUCAUGGCUUUGAAUUAACCUCUAGCCAAAAUAAAUUUAGUUACACAUUAUUAAAACAGAAUAAAAUAUAAAUUUGGAAAGAUUUAACCGAGAGAGGAGAGUGCUUCAGUGCUCUGUCUGUCCGUGCCUUUGAACCCCUGCCGAGGCUCACGCUGCAAGGCAGCCUUGCUGCUUUCCGUCAGUCUCUCUGCAUCCUGCCUCCCGCCAGUCUCGUCAGUCUCUGCUUCUCCAACUAGCUGCCAGGCAGCUGUUCUUUUCCGCGCCUAUCAUCUCCCCCAGCUGCCAAGCAGCUUGUUUUCCUCCUCUGCCGAGCUGCCAAGCAGCUCCUUUGCUUCUUGGUUUUCUUUCUUCUCGCCCCAGCUGCCAAAUGGCAGCUCUGAUCUUUCCCCCCUCGAGCCUCAGCUGCAAAGGCAGCUUAUAUUUCUCCACGUGCUGCUUCUUCAAAUGCUGCCAAGUUCUUCUUAUUUUCUGUGCUCACCAACCACACUGCACUCAAGA